rnacentral:rRNA from 1 species
AUUGAACGCUGGCGGCAUGCUUUACACAUGCAAGUCGAACGGUAACAGGCCUUCGGGUGCUGACGAGUGGCGAACGGGUGAGUAAUGCAUCGGAACGUACCCAGAGGUGGGGGAUAACGCAGCGAAAGCUGUGCUAAUACCGCAUGUGAUCUGAGGAUGAAAGCGGGGGACCGAGCAGCAAUGUUUGGCCUCGCGCCUUUGGAGCGGCCGAUGUCGGAUUAGCUAGUUGGUGGGGUAAAGGCCUACCAAGGCGACGAUCCGUAGCUGGUCUGAGAGGACGACCAGCCACACUGGGACUGAGACACGGCCCAGACUCCUACGGGAGGCAGCAGUGGGGAAUUUUGGACAAUGGGCGCAAGCCUGGUCCAGCAAUGCCGCGUGCGGGAAGAAGGCCUUCGGGUUGUAAACCGCUUUUGGCAGGAACGAAACGGUGUCCGCUAAUACCGGGCGCUAAUGACGGUACCUGCAGAAUAAGCACCGGCUAACUACGUG